GCUUACAACCUCCGUCCCGCUGUGGGAUUCAGAAGAGGAGAUUAUGAAACCAUUACCAAUAGUAAUCAACAAACCGAAAGUACCCAACAUCACCCAACUUCUUCUUCUUUGGAGCACCGGUCAUGUGAGGAGUCUUCACAAUCUCAAUUUGACGGCGGAUGGGAAGUGUCGGUUUCACGCAUGCCAGCGUACCUAUUCGGAGCUUCGAGGUCACCCGCUGCGAGUGAAAACCCUGUUGGAGCCUCAUUAGGAAGUGAAAGCUUGCCACCUAGUAUUACUAGUGGCAAGAUUCCGCGAUUUAGGGAUUGCGCAACUUCCUCAAGGCUGCGUGCAGGCCAGGACGUGCCUGACCGGCUUGGACAUGUUCCAGACGCUGACGUUUGUUUGUGUGUGUAUCGACCUGCCAGCGCCUUUGUUUGGUGUUUGUGUAGGGCAUCCAGCAGUUACAGCAGAUGCGUUGCAGAGAAUUCACACGAGGCGGCGAAGAGUCUGCAUCUGCUCUCUGUCGGUGGCAUUCGGCACUACGUGGGCCGACUGCUCGCCAGCUCUGUCAGCUGCUGCCCUCUCACGGCACUCCCACACACUUUGUGCAGCCGCCUGAGUGCAGAGUCCCACCGUUAAGGCGCCAUCACUCUUCCAGAUGCCCGGUCCACCACGGCAGGAAGCAAUAGACGGACUGCUGUGAUGGCGUCUUGAAACAAAAACUGCGAGAUUCGUAACACUGCUCCACCAGCCGCACAGUUCGUCAGAGGCGUAGCUCCGCAGACUGCCAUCUGGGGCAGUGAGGGCACUGUUGGCAGUGGCGCCUGUCCGGCCAGUCGCUGCGUGGCGCCCCCUGCAGGCACUCUGCUGAUGCGGCGCCAGGCCACGGGAAAUGUGGAAAGUAGGAAGAACUUACUGUGGUGUCCUGUGAUGUGAGAGUGAAAGUGCAUAUUCCCCCGAGAGAGGGUAGUAUGUAUUGUAACAGCAGCACGGCAAGUGUGUGGGAAAGGAAUGAUUUUAGGCAGUUCUUCAAUUCUCUUUAUUUAAAUAUAAACUGGUAAGACGACAGCAGAUGACGGGAGCACCGUGCGAUGCAAGUACUGCUACCAAUGUGAGAUUUGUGUACUGCAGACACGAGUAAAUUCAGUGAGAGAUCACAACUGAAGAUACAUUCUAACUGUAAGGCUUAUACGGCAGUAAUUUGAGUAUUGUGCAGGUUACAUUAGUGUAACGUAGCAUCAUACACUUUGAUAGGAAAUUGUUUCCAGUAAUUAGGUAAUGUAGGGGACUGUAUCAAACAACUACUGUUAAUGUAGCUGAGUUAGACAACUAUUGAUAUUGCACCUGGCUUCAGGGUGAGUGUGUAUAGUGACCAUCACCACACUCUUGUAGCCCAGUAUUAAUUUUGAAGUAAGUUAAUAAUUUAGACGGCUGGUCACAUUUUCACAGCACUUGGCACAAUGAGUUAGACACUGUAGGGAGAGGUAGCAACAGUAGAACGUGUAUAAACUGUUUUCAUAGUACUCAUCUUUCCUUUUUCUUCUUUGUUGUAAGGCUUGUAGUACAUUCUGAAAUGCAACUUUGUAUACUGGUCUAAAAGGUACUCAGCUUCACUUUUUUUAAAAAAUAAUAAUACAAACUUUGGAGGACUUUAUGUUGUCGAAUACAUAUAUUUUCAGUUAUUUCGCGUGCCGAGCUUUCACGUGCGUGCGGAUCGCUCCCUUCUGACGUCACACGUCCCCCACUACCACACCAGCUGACUGCGUGCACUUGCGCGGAACUACGAACGCGCCGCAUGCGACAGUGCAUUCGCGUAAGGAACUGUCGUGUCCCACUGACGUGUCCUGAGAGGGAGUGGAAGGACUGCGUUGGUGCGCGUCAGAGAACUUACUUGGCAUGAGGUCUCGGUGGUGUGGGCCGCCAACUCCUCUCUGCUCCGUUGUAGAGAAGGCUGCAAGGUGAGCUAGAGUAUGGAACUCGGAUAGGAUCUUAGGGAAGCUUUCAUGUAUGAACACUCGAUGUAUAGAACGAUUAUCCUGGAAGUACCCCUGGCACUUGUGAUUUAAAUAAGAUUCUAUAUACAGUCUCUAAUGAUUGUCUAUCUGGCUAUGCAGUUGCCAUUCCUAACUUCCCAAACCUAUGUCCUAAUACAGCAGAAGCGAGCGCACCAGACUAAGUGUCAGCUGUGUCGAUUCAGCCUAAGUCCCUACUUGUUGCUGUGCUCAAUACUCUCCUGCAACUCUUGCAGCAUCCCGACGCAUACUAACGUGGACCAGCGUCCUAAGUACCUCACUCCAUCACUGUCCUUCGAUCUAGCGGCUAUCCGCUUUUAUAGGGAUAGUGCACCCGGCACCACUUGUUCUAGAAGGUUCUAGCACCCCCGAACUUU